GAUUUUAUUGGGGCCACCCACGGAAUAAUAUCCUUAGGUUAGUUGGAAUCGGAACUUGAAUGGAAGAGGCAGAUAAGAUCGUGGACUUGAUUUAUUUGGAGUUCGAAGUUCAACUUUGGGCUAGUUGUUGAGUGCUUGGUUAGGGGAAGCGGAUCGCGCUCCACAUCUACGGGAGAUACCUAUUUUGGAGGCAGCUUCACCUAUUGAUUAUUAGUUGGCCUGCGCCUACGCUGUUUAGUUUAGCGAGUAAACGAUGAAAGCCAAGAUCUCACGAUGAAUUCACGUUUGACUGAACAUCGAUGCAAAAUUUUAAUUUUCAAUUAUUAUUAGUAUGCAUUAUUUA